rnacentral:rRNA from 1 species
UAGGGUUUGAUUAUGGCUCAGGACGAACGCUGGCGGCAUGCCUAACACAUGCAAGUCGAACGAGAAAGUCACUUCGGUGAUGAUUAAAGUGGCGCACGGGUGAGUAACGCGUAGACAAUCUGCCCUUCAGUCUGGGACAACUUUUCGAAAGGAGAGCUAAUACCGGAUAACAACGUUUGACAUAAGUUAAAUAUUUGAAAGCUUUAUGUGCUGAGGGAGGGGUCUGCGUCCCAUUAGCUAGUUGGUGAGGUAAAGGCUUACCAAGGCAACGAUGGGUAGCGGGUUUGAGAGGACGAUCCGCCACACUGGAACUGAGACACGGUCCAGACUCCUACGGGAGGCAGCAGUGGGGAAUAUUGCACAAUGGGCGAAAGCCUGAUGCAGCCAUACCGCGUGUGUGAAGAAGGCCUUAGGGUUGUAAAGCACUUUCGUCAGGGAAGAAAGGUGCGGGGUUAAUAACUCCGUACUGUGACGGUACCUGAACAAGAAGCACCGGCUAACUCCGUGCCAGCCGCCGCGGUAAUACA